rnacentral:rRNA from 1 species
UAAUCAUUUGUCUAUUAAUUGUAGACCUGUAUGAAGGGCAAAAUGAGGGUUUAACUGUCUCUUGUAAUAAAUCUAUUAAACUGAUCUUCUAGUAAAAAAGCUAAAAUAACCCCAUAAGACCAGAAGACCCUGUGAAGCUUAAACUAAACAAUUAAACCAAAUAACAACUAAUUUCGGUUGGGGCGACCUUGGAAACAAAAAUAACUUCCAACUUAAAACUUACCACAAUGGCCAACAAGCCUAUCAAUGACCCAGUAAAACUGAUAAAUGAACAAAGUUACUCCAGGGAUAACAGCGCUAUCUUCUUCAAGAGUCCAUAUCAAAAAGAAGGUUUACGACCUCGAUGUUGGAUCAGGACAUCCUAUUGGUGUAGCCGCUAUUAAGGGUU